UACGUAGGGUGCGAGCGUUGUCCGGAAUUAUUGGGCGUAAAGAGCUUGUAGGCGGUUUGUCGCAUCUGCUGUGAAAUUCCAGGGCUUAACCCUGGGCUUGCAGUGGGUACGGGCAGACUAGAGUGUGGUAGGGGAGACUGGAAUUCCUGGUGUAGCGGUGAAAUGCGCAGAUAUCAGGAGGAACACCGAUGGCGAAGGCAGGUCUCUGGGCCACUACUGACGCUGAGAAGCGAAAGCAUGGGGAGCGAACAGG
rnacentral:rRNA from 1 species